GACGAACGCUGGCGGCGUGCCUAACACAUGCAAGUCGAACGGGGAGUUAUUUAUAACUCCUAGUGGCGAACGGGUGAGUAACGCGUAGACAACCUGCCUCUAAAUUGGGGACAACACCGCGAAAGUGGUGCUAAUACCGAAUGUGGUAUCUUGAUCGCAUGAUCGAGAUAAGAAAGAUGGCCUCUACAUGUAACCUAUCGAUUAGAGAUGGGUCUGCGUCUGAUUAGCUAUUUGGUGAGGUAACGGCUCAACAAGGCAACGAUCAGUAGCCGGUCUGAGAGGAUGAACGGCCCCACCGGGACUGAGACACGGCCCAGACUCCUACGGGAGGCAGCAGUGGGGAAUCUUCCGCAAUGGACGAAAGUCUGACGGAGCAACGCCGCGUGAGUGAAGAAGGUCUUCGGAUUGUAAAGCUCUGUCGUUUGGGACGAACGUAUCCUGUGUGAAUAAUGCGGGGUAAUGACGGUACCAAAGGAGGAAGCCACGGCUAACUACGUGCCAGCAGCCGCCGUAACAC
rnacentral:rRNA from 1 species